rnacentral:rRNA from 1 species
GGGGAAUCUUGCGCAAUGGACGAAAGUCUGACGCAGCGACGCCGCGUGGGCGACGAAGGCCUUCGGGUUGUAAAGCCCUGUGGGGCGGGACGAAAGCUCUGGUGGCUAACAUCCACUGGAAGUGACGGUACCGCUUUAGUAAGCACCGGCUAACUCUGUGCCAGCAGCCGCGGUAAGACAGAGGGUGCGAACGUUGCUCGGAAUGACUGGGCGUAAAGCGCGUGUAGGUGGUCUCGCAAGUCGGGUGUGAAAGCCCAGGGCUCAACCCUGGAAGUGCAUUCGAUACUACGAGGCUGGAGUCCUGUAGAGGAGAGCGGAAUUCUCGGUGUAGAGGUGAAAUUCGUAGAUAUCGAGAGGAACACCAGUGGCGAAGGCGGUUCUCUGGACAGGGACUGACACUGAGACGCGAAAGCGUGGGGAGCAAAC